rnacentral:rRNA from 1 species
UACGUAGGUGGCGAGCGAUGUCCGGAAUUACUGGGUGUAAAGGGCGUGUAGGCGGGAAUGCAGGUUGGAUGUGAAAUUCCGGGGCUUAACCUCGGCGCUGCAUCCGAAACUGCAUUUCUUGAGUGCUGGAGAGGAAAGCGGAAUUCCUAGUGUAGCGGUGAAAUGCGUAGAUAUUAGGAGGAACACCAGUGGCGAAGGCGGCUUUUUGGACAGUAACUGACGCUGAGGCGCGAAAGCGUGGGGAGCAAACAGG